AACGUAGGGGACAAGCGUUAUCCGGAUUUACUGGGCGUAAAGCGCCCGUAGGCGGCUUUGUAAGUUGGACGUGAAAGCUCCCGGCUUAACUGGGAGAGGCCGUUCAAAACUGUAGAGCUAGAGUGAGGCAGAGGAGUGCGGAAUUCCCGGUGUAGUGGUGGAAUGCGUAGAUAUCGGGAGGAACACCAGUGGCGAAAGCGGCACUCUGGGCCUAAACUGACGCUGAGGAGCGAAAGCGUGGGGAGCGAACAGG
rnacentral:rRNA from 1 species